rnacentral:lncRNA from 1 species
CGCCACCGAGCGCCAGCCCCGCCAGGAGGAGGGCGGGGACGGGGCCUGCUCUUAAAGGGGCCGCGCCGGGAACCCGACCGCGCAGGGCCGGCACUGGCUGCUUGGAGGCCGCUUCCUCGGGUUUCCCACGCUGUCCUUUCCUAGCUGACCCUCCCAGGGAGGCUUUCCUUUCCUGUGAGGCUGGCAGAGGAGUGGCACAGAGGACUUUUCAUACAAGCUCAGAGGGGGUCUAUAAAACCAUCAUGGAGCCGGAGGAUCAACAGUGUGAUGGCAGCACACAGCCCCAGUGAGCCAGUCUUCUUGUCCCCCAGAGGCCCGUAGCUUGACUGGCUGGUUAUAAAAGUCACAUGGAAAGCCCAGAAGAGGCAACACAACCAUGAAAAAGAUCGAAGGUGGAAGACAAGUAUUUCCCAGCUUCAAAACCUACAGUAAUCUUCCUACGGAGACCAGCAAAGAAUUGAUGGUCUUCGUUUGGCUAGAUAAUCUAUGUGGCUUCAUGCAGAUCCCAAGCCAGCAUUUCCAUGGGGACCAUCAGGUAAGGCAGCAAGGUGCAAACACAAGAGCAUUUCACAGCCAACAUCUCUACGCCAUCUUAGUCCAGCUAUCUGGAAACUGUAGAGAAGCCUAUGUAAAAACAAGUAAGUUCCCAUUUGAGCUGAUUUACAGUAAUCAUGAGAUAGAUGCUAAUGUUGGAAUAUAUAUUUUUCCCUAAAAUGACCAAGAGACAAAUGUAUGGUCUCAGUGUCGAAUGAACCAAAAAGGGUAGAAUAUUUAUUUGGACAUUUGUUUUGGGCUACAUAGAAGGUCAAGACUAUAUGCUUGCCUGAGAAAUCCUCUGUAGCAGACACUGAUGAGAGUUAGGAAUUCAGCUUUUGCCUACUCUUCUUAACCUCUCUAGAAGUUGGUCAGGGUCACUUGGUGACCACUUAGUGAUUAGAUGUUAAUGGGUGCCAACUUCCUUGCCUUGUCAUUAUACAGAUCUCUAUGGGGCUUCCUGCCCCACUGGCUGGAUGGAAGUAACCUUGGGGAAGAUAGAGCCACAGGUUGGAAGAAGCCUGUGUCCCUGAAUUACUAGAAUGCCCCUUUUCUAAGUCAUACUGGAUUAUGAGAUGAACAGUGGUACAUUGGUACUGAGUCAACUCACUGAAAUUUGAAGAUCAGUUGCUGUAAUUUGCCUAUCCUGACCAAUUGACCCUAUUUCCCAGCUUUCCUCUGGGUCAUGGUAGGUAGAGAGAGGCAUAAGUCUCUGGAGUCUCAGAUGAUCCAGAUAAAUGAAGGAAUCCAACGGUUGGGGAGUUGCCUCAGUGGCUGAGAGCACUUGUUGCUCUUACAGGAGACCUGAGUAUUCUCAGCACCUACAUGGUGGCUUACAAUGGGAUCUAACUCCCAUUCCAGGGCAUCUGGCAUCCUCUGGCCUCCAUGGGCACCAGGUAUGCACACUGUGCACUUACAUCCAGGUAAGCAAAACACUCAUACACAUGAAAUAAAUCUUUUUUACUUUCUAAAAGAAGACA